UACGUAGGGUGCGAGCGUUAAUCGGAAUUACUGGGCGUAAAGCGUGCGCAGGCGGCUUCGCAAGUCAGACGUGAAAUCCCCGGGCUUAACCUGGGAAUGGCGUUUGAAACUACGGAGCUGGAGUGUGGCAGAGGGAGGUAGAAUUCCACGUGUAGCGGUGAAAUGCGUAGAUAUGCGGAGGAACACCGAUGGCGAAGGCAGCCCCCUGGGCCAAUACUGACGCUCAGGCACGAAAGCGUGGGGAGCAAACAGG
rnacentral:rRNA from 1 species